rnacentral:rRNA from 1 species
GUCUAUGACCAUACCACCCUAAACACACCUGAUCUCCUCUGAUCUCAGAGGCUAAGCAGGGUCGUGCUGGUUAGUACAUGGAUGGGAGAAAUUGCAUCACAUAUGCU